rnacentral:rRNA from 1 species
AUUGAACGCUGGCGGCAGGCCUAACACAUGCCAGUCGAACGGUAACAGGGAUCAGCUUGCUGAUUCGCUGACGAGUGGCGGACGGGUGAGUAAUGUCUGGGAAACUGCCUGAUGGAGGGGGAUAACUACUGGAAACGGUAGCUAAUACCGCGUAACGUCGCAAGACCAAAGAGGGGGACCUUCGGGCCUCUUGCCAUCGGAUGUGCCCAGAUGGGAUUAGCUAGUAGGUGGGGUAACGGCUCACCUAGGCGACGAUCCCUAGCUGGUCUGAGAGGAUGACCAGCCACACUGGAACUGAGACACGGUCCAGACUCCUACGGGAGGCAGCAGUGGGGAAUAUUGCACAAUGGGCGCAAGCCUGAUGCAGCCAUGCCGCGUGUAUGAAGAAGGCCUUCGGGUUGUAAAGUACUUUCAGCGGGGAGGAAGGGAGUAAAGUUAAUACCUUUGCUCAUUGACGUUACCCGCAGAAGAAGCACCGGCUAACUCCGUG